rnacentral:rRNA from 1 species
UACGGGGGGGGCAAGCGUUGUUCGGAAUUACUGGGCGUAAGGGGCUCGUAGGUGGCCAACUAAGUCAUACGUGAAAUCCCUCGGCUUAACCGGGGAACUGCGUCUGAUACUGGAUGGCUUGAGGUUGGGAGAGGGAUGCGGAAUUCCAGGUGUAGCGGUGAAAUGCGUAGAUAUCUGGAGGAACACCGGUGGCGAAGGCGGCAUCCUGGACCAAUUCUGACACUGAGGAGCGAAAGCCAGGGGAGCAAACGGG